rnacentral:rRNA from 1 species
GACAGAGGGUGCAAACGUUGUUCGGAAUUACUGGGCGUAAAGCGCGUGUAGGCGGCUCGGAAAGUCGGAUGUGAAAGCCCUGGGCUUAACCUAGGAAGUGCAUUCGAAACUCCCGAGCUUGUGUUCUGGAGAGGAAGGCGGAAUUCUCGGUGUAGAGGUGAAAUUCGUAGAUAUCGAGAGGAACACCGGUGGCGAAGACGGCCUUCUGGACAGUGACUGACGCUGAGACGCGAAAGCGUGGGGAGCAAACAGG